rnacentral:rRNA from 1 species
UGGGGAAUUUUCCGCAAUGGGGGCAACCCUGACGGAGCAACGCCGCGUGGGGGAGGAAUGUCUGUGGAUUGUAAACCCCUUUUCUCAGGGAAGAAGUUCUGACGGUACCUGAGGAAUCAGCAUCGGCUAACUCCGUGCCAGCAGCCGCGGUAAGACGGAGGAUGCAAGCGUUAUCCGGAAUUAUUGGGCGUAAAGCGUCCGUAGGCGGUUUAUCAAGUCUGCCGUUAAAGACUGCAGCUNAACUGUGGGCGAGCGGUGGAAACUGAUUAACUAGAGUGUGGUAGGGGUAGAGGGAAUUCCCAGUGUAGCGGUGAAAUGCGUAGAUAUUGGGAAGAACACCAGUGGCGAAGGCGCUCUACUGGGCCACAACUGACGCUGAGGGACGAAAGCUACGGGAGCG